rnacentral:lncRNA from 1 species
CUCCACUCCGAGGCUCAGGGAGCAAGUGCCUGGCAUGGGGGGUAAAAGUUGGCUUUUUUUUUACUCCUUGGUCUUUUGCGCCCUUCUCCCUCUCCCCAGAAGGGAAGACCCAUUUAAACUAUUUUAGACGCAAUCAACCAAGAAUCACCAUGUGGAAUUGAGCGGCAGUUUUAAAUGUGUUGAGCAGGGGAGAGGAAUGAUGAGAAAAACAUUUUUUUUUUUUUUUUUGGAGACGCCGAAAGAAGCCUGUUUGUGUGCUGCGGCCGUGCUGUGACUUUGGAUCUUGUCUUUCAGCCGGCGCCUCGGUUCCUGCCCAGCUGGAUUUGGGGGGCAGCAUUGCCUGGCGCAGGGAGAUCAAAUGAGACUGCAAAGAAGCAUAAAAUGAAUAGACAAUCCAACCAACCAAAGACCACACCUUAUCUGGUUGCUAAUGAAAUACAGGAGAUUGAUUGCAGAAAAUCUUCAAGGGAAUAUUUGCUGUACCACAUAUAGAAAUUGCUUUGGAGAUGAGGAAACAAACUCUUAUGGAGACCUAAGAGACUGAAGACAUCUGGCGUGGACUACUCUGAUGGUAAAAUUGAAAGUACACCUAAAUUUGCUUUGUUACAGGAUUCUCUUCAGAGGACAAGAGAAGAUGUUACAUUCUCUGCAUGAGGACAAUUCUGCAGCAUCAAAAUCGAAUAAUAUUUGUUUUCUGGCAGCAGAAUUUUGUAUCAUAUUUCUAAAGACAGUAAGCACUUGGGUGGACGUCAAUGAAUACUAAACACUAAUUGAUCUGAUACAGCCGUAUGCACAUACACAGAUAUACAUGGUGGCUUGUAAUGGUUGAAAAAUUACGGUUUGGUUUUAUUAAAAGAUCUGUCACUUUUAGGUCAGAGUGGGAUUUUGGAGGGAUAGUCUCCCACAAUAGAAAACUACCCUGACAACAGUGGUGUUUUGAGGUUGUUUGUUGUUUGGCUUCUUGAUGAUGCUUAGCUAAGGAGACACUUCCUUUCAGAUUCUGUCUUCCAAACCCCAGGGCUCUGUUCUGGGCAGUUCAGCCUAAUGGAAUUAAGCCUGACAUGUUUCAACUCUAUUUCUUGAUAAAAUAAACAUAAAACAAUGGUUUA